CCGAGUUAGGGUACUCUUCGUGCCCGACCUCCAACCCUUUGUCUACCUGACCAGAUGUGAUCGGCAGGCCCGCCGCCCGCAAGGGUGGUAGCCGCCGGGGGCCCUUACCGGCUCCGGGUCCGCGCCUGUCGAUGGCCCUCUAUAAACUCUUGCUUAAACCGUGUCGUCUGAGUAAAACAAACAAAUAAACA
rnacentral:misc_RNA from 1 species